rnacentral:rRNA from 1 species
UAUGUAGGGGGCAAGCGUUGUCCGGAUUUAUUGGGCGUAAAGCGCGCGCAGGCGGUUUAUUAAGUCUGAUGUGAAAGCCCACGGCUCAACCGUGGAGGGCCAUUGGAAACUGGUAGGCUUGAGUGCAGGAGAGGAGAGCGGAAUUCCCGGUGUAGCGGUGAAAUGCGCAGAUAUCAGGAAGAACACCCGUGGCGAAGGCGGCUCUCUGGGACGGUACUGACGCUGAGACGCGAAAGCGUGGGGAGCGAACAGG